CCUACGGGUGGCAGCAGUGGGGAAUAUUGCACAAUGGGGGAAACCCUGAUGCAGCGACGCCGCGUGAGUGAAGAAGUAUUUCGGUAUGUAAAGCUCUAUCAGCAGGGAAGAAAAUGACGGUACCUGAUUAAGAAGCCCCGGCUAACUACGUGCCAGCAGCCGCGGUAAUACGUAGGGGGCAAGCGUUAUCCGGAUUUACUGGGUGUAAUGGGAGCGUAGAGGGCAGCACAAGUCUGCAGUGAAAUGCCCGGGCUUAACCCGGGAACUGCAUUGGAAACUGGGGAGCUAGAGUGCAGGAGAGGUAGGUGGAGUUCGUCGUGUAGCGGUGAAAUGCUUAGAUAUGACGAGGAACACCAAUUGCGAAGGCAGCUUACUGGAGCGGAACUGACGCUGAGGCUCGAAAGCGCGGGUAGCAAACAGGAUUAGAUACCCUUGUAGUC
rnacentral:rRNA from 1 species